rnacentral:lncRNA from 1 species
AAGUAAUCAGAGACUUGUGAAUCUUACACAAUACACACACACACACACACACAUACAUACAUUUAUAUAUAUAUAUAUAUAUAUAGAGAGAGAGAGAGACAUUUAAUUAUUUUCAGCUAUUUACUCUAUUUUUUUUAGAUAAACAUUACAGUAGAAUGUAUUUUGACAAACAUAUAUGGAGUAUAACUUACUGUAAUUAGGAUUCCAUUCUUGUGAUUGUACAUGAUGUAGAGUUUCAUUAGUGGCGUAUGCAUAUAUGCCAUAGGAAAGUUAUGUCUGAUUGAUUCUACUGUCUUUCCUAUUCCCUAUCACCCUCCCUUCCCUUCAUUCAUUCCCCUUUGUCUAAAUCACUGAACUACUAUUCUUCUCUCCUCCCCAUAUUGUAUUUUUGCAUCCACAUAUCAGAGCAUUCAGCCUUUGGUUUUUUGAGAUUGGCUUAUUUUCCUUAGCAUGAUCUCUAGGUCCAUCCCUUUACUGGCAAAAGUCAUAAAGUUAUUUUUUAUGGCCAAGUAAUAUUCCAUGUGUAUAUAUACCACAUUUCUUUAUCCAUUCAUCUGUUGAAGGGCACCUAGGUUGGUUCCAUAGCUUAGCUGUUGUGAAUUGAGCUGCUAAAAACAUUGAUGAGGCUGUAUCACUAUAGUGCUAAUUUUAAGUACUUUGGGUGUAUAUCAAGGAGUAGGAUAACUGGGUCAAGUGAUGUUAGUUCCAUUCCCCGUUUUCUAAGGAAUCUCCAUGCAGCUUUCCAGAGUGGUUGCACCAAUUUGCAGUCCCAUCAGCAAUGUAUGAAUGUACCUUUUUCCCUACAUCCUCAUCAACCUUUAUCGUUACUUGUGUUUUUGAUAAUUGCCAUUCUGACUGGAGUGAGAUGGAAUCUCAGUGUAGUUUUAAUCUGCACUUCUCUAAUAGCUAGAGAAGUUGAACAUUUUUUUCAUAUAUUUAUUGACCAUUUGUAUUCUUUUGAGAAGUACCUAUUCAGUUCCUUUGCCCAUUUAUUGAUUGGAUUAUUUGUGUUUUUUUGGUGUUAAAAGUUUUUUUGAGUUCUUUAUAUAUCCUGGAAAUUAAUGCUCUGUCUGAGGUGCAGGUGGCAAAAAUUUUCUCCAAUUCUGUAGGCUCUCUCUUCACAUUUUUUAUUGUUUCCUCUGCUGUGCAGAAGCUUUUUAGUUUUAUACCAUCCCAUUUAUUGAUUCUUUGAUUUAAUUUCUUGCAUUUUGGAGUCUUAUUAAGGAAGUCAUUUCCUAAGCCAAAAUGGAGAGUUGGGCCUACAUUUUCUUCUGGUCAGUAUAGGGUCUUCUGGUCUAAUGCCUAGGUCCUUGAUCCACUUUGAGUUUUGUGCAAGGUGAGAGGGGUUAAAUUUCAUUCUGCUAUGUAUGGAUUUCCAGUUUCCCCAACACCAUUUGUUGAAGAGGCUGUUUUUUCUCCAAUUUGUGUUUAUAGCACCUUUGUCUAAUAUAAGAUAACUGUGUUUAUGUGACUUUCUGUCUAUGUCUUCUAUUCUGUUUGUUUCAUUGACCUUCAUGUCUGGGUGCCAGUAGCAUGCUUUUUUGUUACUAUGGCUCUGUAGUAUAAUUUGAGGUCUGGUAUUGUGAUGUCUCCUGAUUCUCUUGAUGAGGAUUGUUUGUCUAUUCUGGACAUCAUAUUUUUCCAAAUGAAUUUCAUAACUGCUUUUUCUAUUUCUAUGAAGAAUGUCAUAUAAAUUACAUUAAAUCUGUAUAGUGCAUUUUGAUAAUAUGCUUGUCAAAGAACAUGGGAGAUGUUUCCAUCUUCUAAGGUCGUCUUUAAUUUCUUUAGUGUUCUGUAGUUAUCGCUGCAGAGGUUUUUUCACCUCUUGUUAGAUUGAUUCCCAAGUAUUCUAUUUUUUUAAGGCUAUUAUGAAUGGGAUAGUUUUCUUAAUUUCUCUUUCAUCCAGUUACUAAUGUUAUUAAGUUUGAGCUAGGGAUACCCUCUCUUGGCUCCCUUUAAUAGCAUAUUUAAUUGAACAGACAUUUUAGAACUGUUGAUUAAAAU